rnacentral:tRNA from 1 species
AAAGUAGUAAGUUAAAAAAACUAGUGCCGUUCAAAGGCAAAAUUGAGUAAUCCUAUUUUU